rnacentral:misc_RNA from 1 species
GAUGAAGAACGUAACGAAAUGCGAUAAGUAAUGUGAAUUGCAGAAUUCAGUGAAUCAUCGAAUCUUUGAACGCACAUUGCGCCCCUUGGUAUUCCGAGGGGCAUGCCUGUUCGAGCGUCAUAUUAACCACUCCCGCUUGCGGGGUCUUGGGCUUCGCCUCCGGGCGGGCCUUAAAAUCAGUGGCGGUGCCGUCGGGCUCUACGCGUAGUAAAUUUUCUCGCGAUAGGGUCCCGGUGGAUGCUUGCCAACAACCCCCAACUUCUUAAGGUUGACCUCGGAUCAGGUAGGGAUACCCGCUGAACUUAAGCAUAUCAAUAAGCGAGGA